UACGUAGGCAGCGAGCGUUGUUCGGAGUUACUGGGCGUAAAGAGUGCGUAGGCGGUGUUCCAAGUCUGUUGUGAAAUCUCCCGGCUUAACUGGGAGGGUGCGGCGGAAACUGGAAUGCUGGAGUGUGGGAGAGGUAAGCGGAAUUCCCGGUGUAGCGGUGAAAUGCGUAGAGAUCGGGAGGAACACCGGCGGCGAAGGCGGCUGCCUGGACCCAGUCC
rnacentral:rRNA from 1 species